rnacentral:miRNA from 1 species
GUUGGCACAAAAUUAAUUGCAGUUUUGCCAUUACUUUUAUUGCAAAAACUGCAGUUACUUUUGUACCAA